rnacentral:lncRNA from 1 species
GUUGGAUCCAACACCUCCUUUUCAUCAGCCACAUAAACAGAGUCAAAUGUGUGCAAGAUAGAGUAUAGAUUGAGCAAUGCACACAUGCAAUAAUAGAUUGCGAGGAAAUUGAAAAGAAAAUGGUGGCAGUGGUUAUAGCCUGCAUCCAAAAGGUAAAAUAACUAUGAUGAUUUCCCCUGUUACAAUGCUGCCAUGUGGCUACAGUUUGCCUUGUGUCUUACAAAUUGAGGGUGUUUAUCGAACCAAAGCUCUGAAGAAUAAAAAAAAAGGAGCUUUUAUACUAAUACGGGCAAACAGAAAAUGCAGCUGGAUCACCUUUAAACAUGCUUCUCUGUGUAGUUACCUAGUCAGCCUAUCGUGGUGCAGCAGAGCAACGCAUUAAAAUCAAGCAGAUACAGCUCCCGAGCUUCGGUUUAUGUUCACAUCAACCUGAUGUUGAACAUAUUGUGACCUGGUGUGAUUGUUGGACAGUUUCCUUCAGAAUGGUGUGACAAACAAACAAAACAUAGGGACUGUUGUGCAGAAAGAAACACCGGAGAGGGGUCAGAGGAGAAUGGCCAGGCUGGACGGAGCUGACAGAACAACAAUGUUGACUAAAAUAGCCACUCUUUGCAACUCAGGUGAGCAAAGAAGCGUCACAGAAUGUAUAACACAUCCAGCUUCGAGGCGGAUCGGCUACAACAAGAGUAGAAAAAUACAUUGGGUUCCACUCAGAAAUGUAAUGUUGCACCGGAAACAGGCUCAACAUAAACGGACAGUUGAAUACUGGCCUGACGACUCUGGAUUUCUGCUGAUGCUGCGGAUGAGUCAGAAUUUGGUGUCAACAGCAUGAACCCAUGGACCGAACCUGCCUUGUGUGACUUGAGAAAAAAAAGGCUGCUAAAUUGCCAGCAUGAUAAUGCGCCACGCCAUGAACUAUCUGAAUCCAGUCGAACACCUCUUUAUGACGUGGUACAAUGGGAGAUUAGCGGCGUGAAAGUGCGUGCGGACAAAUCCGCAGCAAUUUUACGGAGCGAUCAUGUCGACAAAACCUCAAAGGAAAGUUCACGGCAUCUUGUGCAAUCCAAAAAGAACUGCGGCUGUUUUGUGAGCAAAAGCGAGGCCUUACCCAGUGUUAGCGAGGAGUUCCUAAUAGUGUGCUCUGUGAGAUCAAACUGUAAAAGAAGCAGUGAAAAAGGAGAAGGAUACUGUCAACACGUGUGUGUAUAUGUGGAGUUUGUAUCUUCAGAUCCGGAUACUGCAACUGUAAAACCGAAAACAAUUCUCCAGCAUGAAAAGAAGAAGAAAAAUAAGAGACUGGAGCAUAUUGCAAGUACCAUCUUCAACCUGGAUUAAGAGGUACUACAUAAAAAAAAAACUAACUGGGAUUUUCUUCAAUACUCCUUCAAAACAGCGGCGACGCUCAGAAACACUGACAAUCUCUCCGUCUCUUGAAUUCUGCCCUGAGGGGAAGUGGAUGCGCAACUAAAAGAAUUAACGUGUGAGGUCAUACAUCACGAGGCCAUUUGAAGAACUUCACAAAAAUCCUCAACUUCCCGUCUCCAGCGUCCGCGGACAAAAAUGACUUUGCCACAUAGAUUUCUGCGAGACAGUUCCCCUGUUUUCUGGUGCUACUGUACUGCUGAUGAAUAACCCCUUCAGUUUGAGCCUAAAGGCAAAUUCCAGUUUGACUUCCAAGUCAUUUCUCUCUUUCCGUCCCUCUGUCACACACACAUGCUUGGACACACUCGCAGACAUUGUCUCAGAGUCUCUCUCUCUCUCUCUCUCUCUUGGCUGUUGUUCCUCCAAUAUGUUGUCAAGUCCUCUUGGCAGACGCUAGUCGUGCUUUUCUGUCUCAUUCGCUGGGACACCUCACUUCCAAUGGUGCCGUUCUGCUGGGCCUCGUCAUCUGUUGUCUCUCUGAAUAGGAUUUUCUUUUAAUGUGCUUUUAAAGCAGUGCAUUGCACUUGAGCGGAUUCUUGUGCAGACAUUAUGCUGCACUUCAUCAAGUAUUUGCUUCAUAGCUAAAUUCACGAAACAGCAGACACCCCAAUAAAAUGGGUUACAUCAAGUUUUUUGGGGGCUGGAUUUCCAAUUUUGAAAGAAAUGUAUAUCACUAUAUUGGCGAAACAUGUCCAGAUAGAGGUUGUUGUUUUUUAAAUGCACAGCACCAGUUAUUCCAGGAUGAAUUUCAUACUUACAUGCAGUGACAAAAUACUGAUUGACAAC